UUGCACAACAUAAUGCCUCUUUCUGUGGACACUGCAACAACUCCAACUUUAUGUUCUUUGUCUAAACCACAUGUCUACUGCCUCCUGAGAGAUCCAGGAUCCACCUAGUCAACCUUCAGAUCUCAGGCAAGUUUCCUUCUUCAAAAAAUAAGUAAGGAUAUAUGUGCUUAUGAGUGCAUGUGAACAGCAGUCAGAGGAUAUAAUGCAUCUCCAGGAUACUUUCAUCAAUACACCUGCAGAGGCUAACAUUUGGUAACAUCAGAUUUGUUCAGGAGAAUUAUCAUCACAUAUAGUGCACCCAUAGCAGUUCUCAAACUUAUAAGAAAAGCAUGUCGUUUCUCAGCAAGUGCACCCUAUAGACUCCCCACAAAUGUAAAAGGAUUAUGAUGAUGAUAAUGAUGAUGACUGAGAUUAGCACACUCUUGUUUCAAGGUCCCCAAGGAGCAGUGACAGGAAGAGAAGUAAGGAUUCUUCUGCUACGUGAGAUAUGUUGGUCUCUGCCCUGAGAAAUUAUGUCUUCUUGAUACUUCCACCUAUGAGAAUAGAGAAGCCUGAUAUGACACCUUGCCGCAGAGGAAGAUUCUGUAGGUGGUGGUGUCCUGCUCGUCCACCAUGGCUAGGCAGGAGAAACAACCAUCAGGUCAUACACUUGGAAGAAACCUGAAACCUACUCUAGGCAUGAGAAAAACAUUCAACAAAUCCAGUGGGAGGCAUCCUACCAAAAACACGGGUCCUUAAAACGUCAAGGUCAUCAAAAACAAAGAAAGACUAAGAAAAUGUCACAGCCCAUCUGAACCUAAGGAGGCUUGACAACCAAACAAAAUGUGGCAUUCUGGAAGAGAUGCAAUAACAGAAAAUAAAAUAUGAGUUAAA